UACGUAGGGCGCAAGCGUUGUCCGGAAUUAUUGGGCGUAAAGAGCUCGUAGGCGGCCUGUUGCGUCCGCUGUGAAAUCCCGGGGCUCAACCCCGGGCCUGCAGUGGAUACGGGCUGGCUAGAGGCAGGCAGGGGAGAAUGGAAUUCCCGGUGUAGCGGUGAAAUGCGCAGAUAUCGGGAGGAACACCGGUGGCGAAGGCGGUUCUCUGGGCCUUACCUGACGCUGAGGAGCGAAAGCGUGGGGAGCGAACAGG
rnacentral:rRNA from 1 species